GCCCAAGUGGCGGAAUUGGUAGACGCGCUAGGUUCAGGAUCUAGUGGGCUUCGGCCCGUGGGGGUUCAAGUCCCUCCUUGGGCA
rnacentral:tRNA from 1 species